rnacentral:rRNA from 1 species
AACGAACGCUUGCUGCAUGCUUUAUACAUGCAAGUCGAACGAAGGCCCUAGCUUGCUAGGUGUCCUUAGUGGCGCACGGGUGAGUAACACGUGGGAACAUACCUCAUAGUACGGAAUAACUGCGGGAAACUGUAGCUAAUACCGUAUAUUCCAGAAAUGGGAAAGAUUUAUCGCUAUGAGAUUGGCCCGCGCAAGAUUAGCUUGUUGGUAAGGUAAUGGCCUACCAAGGCUCCGAUCUUUAGCUGGUUUGAGAGGAUGAUCAGCCACACUGGGACUGAGACACGGCCCAGACUCCUACGGGAGGCAGCAGUAGGGAAUAUUGGACAAUGGGGGAAACCCCGAUCCAGCAAUGCAGCGUGAGUGACGAAGGCCUUAGGGUUGUAAAACUCUUUCAUCGGUGAGGAUAAUGACAGUAGCCGAAGAAGAAGGACCGGCUAAUUCCGUGCCAGCAGCCGCGGUAAUACGGAAGGUCCUAGCGUUGUUCGGAAUUACUGGGCGUAAAGCGCAUGUAGGCGGAACAAAAAGUUAGAAGUGAAAUCCCUGGGCUCAACCUAGGAAUGGCUUUUAAAACUUUUGUUCUGGAAUUCAGGAGAGGAAAAUGGAAUUUCCAGUGUAGAGGUGAAAUUCGUAGAUAUUGGAAGGAACACCAGUGGCGAAGGCGAUUUUCUGGACUGAUAUUGACGCUGAGAUGCGAAGGCAUGGGUAGCAAACGGGAUUAGAUACCCCGGUAGUCCAUGCAGUAAACGAUGGGUGCUAGUCGUCGGACUUUUGUUCGGUGUCGUAGCUAACGCGUUAAGCACCCCGCCUGGGGAGUACGGUCGCAAGAUUAAAACUCAAAUAAAUUGACGGGGACCCGCACAAGCAGUGGAGCAUGUGGUUUAAUUCGACGCAACGCGAAGAACCUUACCAGCGUUUGACAUGGGAAGUGCCGGUUACAGA